rnacentral:ncRNA from 1 species
UGAGUGUUAUGAUGAUGGGUUUUAUCUAUUUAGAUAUCCUUAGUCUAGCUCUGGUCUACCGCUGAGUUUA